rnacentral:rRNA from 1 species
GAUGAACGCUGGCGGCGUGCCUAAUACAUGCAAGUCGAGCGAACAGACGAGGAGCUUGCUCCUCUGACGUUAGCGGCGGACGGGUGAGUAACACGUGGAUAACCUACCUAUAAGACUGGGAUAACUUCGGGAAACCGGAGCUAAUACCGGAUAAUAUAUUGAACCGCAUGGUUCAAUAGUGAAAGACGGUUUUGCUGUCACUUAUAGAUGGAUCCGCGCCGCAUUAGCUAGUUGGUAAGGUAACGGCUUACCAAGGCGACGAUGCGUAGCCGACCUGAGAGGGUGAUCGGCCACACUGGAACUAAGACACGGUCCAGACUCCUACGGGAGGCAGCAGUAGGGAAUCUUCCGCAAUGGGCGAAAGCUUGACGGAGCAACGCCGCGUGAGUGAUGAAGGUCUUCGGAUCGUAAAACUCUGUUAUUAGGGAAGAACAAAUGUGUAAGUAACUAUGCACGUCUUGACGGUACCUAAUCAGAAAGCCACGGCUAACUACGUG